rnacentral:tRNA from 1 species
GGGCAAGUGGCGAAAUGGCAGACGCGCUGGCUUCAGGUGCCAGUGUCCGCAAGGACGUGGGGGUUCAAGUCCCCCCUUGCCCACUA